GGUUGUUGCUCAGUGGUAGGGUGCUUGCCUAGCAAGCAUGAGGAACUGGGUUCAAUACCCAACACCA
rnacentral:tRNA from 1 species